AUGCAUGGCGACCCCA
rnacentral:rRNA from 1 species